GUUCGUUAGCUUACUCCUUUCUGUCCGUGGACGCUGUCGAGGAAGCAUCGUUGAAGUCUCUCUUCCCACUGCCGUCAUGUCUAAGUCAGAGUCUCCUAAAGAACCCGAACAGCUGCGGAAGCUAUUCAUCGGAGGAUUGAGCUUUGAAACAACCGAUGAGAGUCUGAGGAGCCAUUUUGAGCAAGUGGGAACGCUCACCAGACUGUGUGGUAAUGAGAGAUCCAAACACCAAGCGCUCCAGGGCUUGGGUUUGUCACGUAGCCACUGUGGAGGAGGUGGAUGCAGCAAUGAAUGCACGGCCACAACAAGGUGGAUGGAAGAGUUGUGGAACCAAAGAGAGCUGUCUCCAGAGAAGAUUCUCAAAGACCAGGUGCCCACUUAAGUGUGAAAAAGAUCUUUGUUGGUGCAUUAAGAAGACACGGAAGAACAUCACCUAAGAGACUAUUUUGAACAGUAUGGAAAAUUGAAGUGAUUGAAAUCAUGACUGACAGAGGCAGUGGCAAGAAGAGGGCUUUGCUUUGUAACCUUUGAUGACCAUGAUUCUGUGGAUAGAAUUGUCAUUCAGAAAUACCAUACUGUGAAUGGCCACAACUGUGAAGUAAGAAAGCCCUGUCAAAGCAAGAGUGGUAGUGCUUCAUCCAGCCAAAGAGGUCGAAGGGUUCUGGAACUUUGGUGGUGGUCGUGGAGGUGGUUUUGGUGGGAAUGACAUUUGGCCAUGGAGGAAACUUCAGUGGUCGAGGUGGCUUUGGUGGCAGCCGUGGUGUGUGGAUAUGGUGCAGUGGGGAUGGGUACAAUGGAUUUGGUAAUGAUGGAAGCAAUUUUGGAGGUGGUGGAAGCUACAAUGGAUUUGGUAAUGAUGGAAGCAAUUUGGAGUGGUGGAAGCUACAUGAUUUUGGCAAUUACAACAUCAGUCUCAAAUUUUUGGACCACAUGAAGGGAGGAAAUUUUGGAGGCAGAAGCCUCUGGCCCUUAUGGUGGUGGAGGCAAUACUUUGCCAAACCACGAAACAAGGUGGCUAUGGUGGUUCCAGUAGCAGCAGUAGCCUAUGGCAGUGCAGAAGGUUUUAAUUAUCCCAGGAAACAAAGCUUAGCAGGAGAGGAGAGCCAGAGAAGUGACAGGGAACUACAGGUUACAACAGAUUUGUGA